CCCUUAGAUGUUCUGGGCCGCACGCGCGCUACACUGAUGCAUUCAACGAGUUUAUUCCUGGUCCGAGAGGAAUGGGUAACCUUUUGAAAGUGCAUCGUGAUAGGGAUAGACUAUUGCAAUUAUUGGUCUUCAACGAGGAAUUCCUAGUAGACGUAGUUCAUCAGACUGCAUCGAUUACGUCCCUGCCCUUUGUACACACCGCCCGUCGCUCCUACCGAUUGAAUGCUCAGGUGAGCCAUUCGGACUUUCAUCAUGCUGGUUUCCAGUUUUGAUGAAGGAAAGUCUUGCGAACCUUAUCAUUUAGAGGAAGGAGAAGUCGUAACA
rnacentral:rRNA from 1 species